ACUGUGCUGAACUAAAUGUUCCUGUUUAUUUGUCCAGGUGUUAAUGAUAAAUCUGUUCUGAGAGGCACUGGGUUUAUAACAGGCCUCCAGUGAUACCCAGAAGAGAUUUAUGUUGUUGUUGGUCAUCCUAAAAUAUCUCCAUGUCCUGUCUUAUAACACAAGUCCUCUCUGAAGGAUUUCACUGGACAAAAGUCAUUGAUAUAAAACCUGUUCAAACCUCAGCGUCAUGUGAACCAAACAGUUAACUAUGCUAGGUGCCACGUUGCUCACCUAAAAAGGCGCUUUAAUUGUUAGCUCAGUUAAUGAAACAUAUCAAAAGCAAGUUCGCUGACUAACAGUGGGAUUAUGUGGCUUGUGAAAGACUUUUUGGAGAACACCAGGUGUGCGUAUUUCAGCAGCGGCCGCACAGACGCAGCUGUGCUGGAUCAUCCUCCGCUCAGACUGCGGCUCUCCGCGAUCAGGACUGAAGUGAAGGAUCCUCCUACCUAAGUGAGAUGCUGGGGUGAGGAAGUUUCCAGGAUGGUGGGGUGGAUGGCCAAAGGGACCUGCUGAUGGGUGUGUAGGACCUGAAGAGAGAAAGACAGAAGGCUUCAGGAAAACAUCAAUCAACCACUGACUGUGAUAUUACAAAAACGGAGAAGAGUGUGGCGGGCCGUGCCAGGUCGCUGGGGUGAUGGAUGGCGCCGAAGAGGCUGGGGCCCGGAGGUCGACUCAAGAACUCA